GUUGGUUCAAGAACACUAAGAGAAACGAGAGCUCUAACUAAUGACUACAUCUGUAUUCUAUAAAUUACAAGAACAAAAGAAUCCUUCAUAUUUAGCUGUAGAUCAAAAUGGGAGAAAGAGAAAAAGAAGAGAAUACCAUAUAACCUCUGCCUUGCUGAAAAGAAGACCAUCAAAAGUCCCAAUCUAAGUGAGAUUGACAAAGGGACUCAAUAAUUCAUUCAACCAGAUUUACUUUUUAUUAAAUAUUCUGCAAAGAUGCCUCUAAAGAUCACAUGGGUGGAGUUAUCACCACACAUCACGCAGAUACCUUCCACUAGUUUGCAG
rnacentral:misc_RNA from 1 species